GGUCUGUUACAACAGGGCAGGGCAUCAUCAUCCUCCUAAACAAUGAACCCAGUGGAACAUCUGCCCACUGAGAGGUCUGUUACAACAGGGCAGGGCAUCAUCCU